GAUCCUGGCUCAGAAUCAACGCUGGCGGCGUGCCUCAGACAUGCAAGUCGAACGAUUAAACUCCCUUUCGGGGGAGAUAUAAAGUGGCGCACGGGUGAGUAACACGUGGGUAAUUUACCUCUGGGUGGGGGAUAACCAUCGGAAACGAUGGCUAAUACCGCAUAAUGCAGCGGCACCGCAAGGUGACAGUUGUUAAAGCUUUAGUGCCUGGAGAGAAGCCCGCGGCGGAUUAGCUAGUUGGUAAGGUAAUGGCUUACCAAGGCAACGAUCCGUAUCCGGUCUAAGAGGACGGUCGGACACACUGACACUGAAUAACGGGUCAGACUCCUACGGGAGGCAGCAGUCGGGAAUUUUGGGCAAUGGGCGAAAGCCUGACCCAGCAACGCCGCGUGAAGGAUGAAGUAUUUCGGUAUGUAAACUUCGGAAGAAUGGAAAGAAUCAAUGACGGUACCAUUUUUAAGCCCCGGCUAACUCCGUGCCAGCAGCCGCGGUAAUACGGGGGGGCAAGCGUUGUUCGGAUUUACUGGGCGUAAAGGGCGCGUAGGCGGCGUGACAAGUCACUUGUGAAAUCUCCGGGCUUAACUCGGAACUGCCAAGUGAUACUGUCGUGCUAGAGUGCAGAAGGGGCAAUCGGAAUUCUUGGUGUAGCGGUGAAAUGCGUAGAUAUCAAGAGGAACACCAGAGGCGAAG
rnacentral:rRNA from 1 species